CUUGGUCAUUUAGAGGAAGUAAAAGUCGUAACAAGGUUUCCGUAGGUGAACCUGCGGAAGGAUCAUUACUGAGAAAGCAACCUCGGAUGCUUGCUGGCCUUUUCAAAUGGGCAUGUGCACUCCUUGGUGAAUUUCUUCUUCUUUCACCCCCCCUUUGUGCACUCUUUGUAGGCUCGAGGAAUUGAGCCUAUGUUUAUUCCACACACACUUGAUUGAAUGUAUGAUGGUUUUGGACAAUAAAUUUUGAUACAACUUUCAACAAUGGAUCUCUUGGCUCUCGCAUCGAUGAAGAACGCAGCGAAAUGCGAUACGUAAUGUGAAUUGCAGAAUUCCGUGAAUCAUCGAAUCUUUGAACGCACCUUGCGCCUCUUGGUAUUCCGAGAGGCAUGCCUGUUUGAGUGUCAUUUAAUUCUCAAACCUGAAUUUUCUUUUGUAGUUCAGGCUUGGAUUUGGAGUGUGCCGGCCUUGACAAGGUCGGCUCCUCUGAAAUUUAUUAGUGAAGAGGCUCUCUUAUCCCCCCCGAAAGCUAUUUUUGGCAUUGAUAACUNGUCUGUGCCUUUCCUGCUNGGGGGANUUUUUUGUAGCAGCUCGCUCACAAAUACACAAUAGAAGUUAUAUUCUAUUCUUUUUGACCAAAUUNGACCUCAAAUCAGGUAGGACUACCCGCUGAACUUAAGCAUAUCAAUAAGCGGAGGAAAAGAAACUAACAAGGAUUCCCCUAGUAACUGCGAGUGAAGCGGGAAGAGCUCAAAUUUAAAAUCUGGCGGUCUCUGGCCGUUCGAGUUGUAAUCUAGAGAAGUGUUUUCCGCGUUGGACCGUGUACAAGUCUCUUGGAAUGGAGCGUCGUAGAGGGUGACAAUCCCGUCUUUGACACGGACUACCAAGGCUUUUGUGAUGCGCUCUCGAAGAGUCGAGUUGUUUGGGAAUGCAGCUCAAAAUGGGUGGUAAAUUCCAUCUAAAGCUAAAUAUGGGCGAGAGACCGAUAGCGAACAAGUACCGUGAGGGAAAGAUGAAAAGAACUUUGAAAAGAGAGUUAAACAGUACGUGAAAUUGUUGAAAGGGAAACGAUUCAAGUCAGUCGCGUUGUCCGGUAAUCAACCCAUGCGAUUCGCUGGGCUUACUUUCCGGUUCUACGGGUCAGCAUCAAUUUUGACCGUCGGAUAAAGUCUCGGGGAAUGUGGCAUCUUCGGAUGUGUUAUAGUCCCUUGUCGCAUACGAUGGUUGGGAUUGAGGAACUCAGCACGCCGCAAGGUUGGGGGUUAGUCCCUACAUAACGUGCUUAGGAUGCUGGCAUAAUGGCUUGAACCGACCCGUCUUGAAACACGGACC
rnacentral:rRNA from 1 species